GACGUAGGUGGCAAGCGUUGUCCGGAAUUAUUGGGCGUAAAGCGCGCGCAGGCGGCCUCUUAAGUCUGAUGUGAAAGCCCCCGGCUCAACCGGGGAGGGCCAUUGGAAACUGGGAGGCUUGAGUAUAGGAGAGAAGAGUGGAAUUCCACGUGUAGCGGUGAAAUGCGUAGAGAUGUGGAGGAACACCAGUGGCGAAGGCGACUCUUUGGCCUAUAACUGACGCUGAGGCGCGAAAGCGUGGGGAGCAAACAGG
rnacentral:rRNA from 1 species